rnacentral:sRNA from 1 species
AUGAUUAUUAUAAAAAUACAGUAAACAACCACCUGCCCAUCAUGGGAUGGUCACCUGACAUUCUUGGUGGCUCGACAGCUCCAGCCCUCCGUGGUGUGGAUUGAAGACACAGAAAAAACCUUCUACAAAAAAGUUCCCAAUGCAGAAAAGAUGAAUGAACCUAAACGCCUGAAAAAACACCUUCCCCAAAUCCUGAAACUCCUGAAACCAGAUGACCGGAUUCUGAUUGUGGGGACCACACGGCGUCCCUUCGAUGCUGAACUCCAAUCUUUCUGCAAAGUUUACCAGAAAAUUAUUUUGGUGCCCAGACCAGACUAUGCUUCCAGAUACGUUCUGUGGAAGCAAAUCAUUGAACGCAAUGGAGGAGUCCUCACCAGUGCCUUGAAUGUCAGCUGCCUGGCGAAGGUCACUGACGGCUUCACCCAAGGACAUAUAGUCGAAGUGGUUAAAGGCGUGCUCACAGAUCAGAGAAUCCGGCGGCAAAUUCAUAAACCUCUCACUGCAGUUGAGUUUAUUACAGCGAUAACCAGCAUGAAUCCAGUGUACAAAGAGGAAGAAGAGAGCUUCAAGAACUGGUAUGCCAAAACUCCUCUGGGUAAAAAACGUGCCUUGGCGAUAACAGGAGGCAGCACAGAAAAGGCAAAGGACAAAGGGAAAAGGAAAUAAAAGAAAGAGAAAAAGGCAAAAAAGAAAAAGUAAUG